CCCUUAGAUGUCCUGGGCUGCACGCGCGCUACACUGAUGCGCUCAACGAGUUUACGAUCUUGCUUGAAAUGGCUGGGUAAUCUUUUUAAAAUGCAUCGUGAUGGGGAUAGAUUAUUGCAAUUAUUAAUCUUCAACGAGGAAUUCCUAGUAAGCGCGAGUCAUCAGCUCGUGCUGAUUACGUCCCUGCCCUUUGUACACACCGCCCGUCGCUCCUACCGAUUGAGUGCUCAGGUGAAUAAUUCGGACUGCAGCAAUGUUUGGAUCCCGAACGUUGCAGCGGAAAGUUUAGUGAACCUUAUCACUUAGAGGAAGGAGAAGUCGUAACA
rnacentral:rRNA from 1 species